AGUGAACGCUGGCGGUAGGCCUAACACAUGCAAGUCGAACGGCAGCACAGUAAGAGCUUGCUCUUACGGGUGGCGAGUGGCGGACGGGUGAGGAAUACAUCGGAAUCUACUUUUUCGUGGGGGAUAACGUAGGGAAACUUACGCUAAUACCGCAUACGACCUACGGGUGAAAGCAUGGGAUCUUCGGACCUUGCGCGAUUGAAUGAGCCGAUGUCGGAUUAGCUAGUUGGCGGGGUAAAGGCCCACCAAGGCGGCGAUCCGUAGCUGGUCUGAGAGGACGAAUCGCCACCACGGAAGUUGAAAAACGUCCAGGAUCCUAAGGGAGGGCGCAGUGGGGAAUUUUGGGCAAUGGGCGGAAACCUUGUCCAGCCAUGCCGCGUGGGUGGAAGAAGCCUUCCGGUUGGAAAGCCCUUUUUGUGGGAAAGAAAAGGAAUCGGUUAAUACCCCGCUUGUUUGACGGUAACCGAAAAAUAAGCAACGGCUAACUUCGUG
rnacentral:rRNA from 1 species